rnacentral:rRNA from 1 species
AUUGAACGCUGGCGGCAUGCCUUUCACAUGCAAGUCGAACGGCAGCACGGGGCAACCUGGUGGCGAGUGGCGAACGGGUGAGUAAUGCAUCGGAACGUACCUUUCAGUGGGGGAUAACGUAGCGAAAGUUACGCUAAUACCGCAUAUUCUGUGAGCAGGAAAGCAGGGGAUCGCAAGACCUUGCGCUGAUUGAGCGGCCGAUGUCAGAUCAGCUAGUUGGUGAGGUAAAGGCUCACCAAGGCGACGAUCUGUAGCGGGUCUGAGAGGAUGAUCCGCCACACUGGAACGGAGACACGGUCCAGACUCCUACGGGAGGCAGCAGUGGGGAAUUUUGGACAAUGGGGGCAACCCUGAUCCAGCCAUGCCGCGUGAGUGAAGAAGGCCUUCGGGUUGUAAAGCUCUUUCGGCCGGGAAGAAAUCGCACGGGCUAAUACCCUGUGUGGAUGACGGUACCGGAAUAAGAAGCACCGGCUAACUACGUGCCAGCCGCCGCCGUAACAC